rnacentral:rRNA from 1 species
UACAGAGGGUGCGAGCGUUGUUCGGAAUUACUGGGCGUAAAGCGUGCGCAGGCGGUUCUCCAAGUCCGUUGUGAAAGCCCCGGGCUCAACCUGGGAAUGGCAGUGGAAACUAGGGGACUGGAAUCUGGCAGAGGGGGGUGGAAUGCCGCGUGUAGCAGUGAAAUGCGUAGAGAUGCGGCGGAACACCGAUGGCGAAGGCAGCCCCCUGGGCUGAGAUUGACGCUCAGGCACGAAAGCGUGGGGAGCAAACAGG